AUAUCACUACAAAAAAACAAUUGAAUUGCAUCACUUAAAUUGUAUCAUAAAAAUAAGUGAUGUCAUUUUAAAUUACUUAUUUGUAAAUGAUGUUAAUAUUAAUUAAUUUUACAUCAGUUCAGUAAAAUGAUGUAAUCUUUAUUAGUUUAAAUCAUUUAGACAAAAGUGAUUUUAUUCUAUAAAUUUAUAUCAGUUAAAUAAUUGAUGCAUGUAUUAUUUUGGUUAACAUCACUUAUUAAGAUGAUACAAAAUUUACAUCAAUAGAAAACUGAUGCUAAUAAAAAUUAUAUAACCAUAUUUUUGUUUAACAUCAGUUUAAUAAAAGUGAUGUCAUGUUAUCUGCAUUUACAUCAGUUAAAACAGUUAUAUAAUAUUUACUUAAUUUAAAUCAAUAAAAAUUAGCUGAAAUUUCAAAGAACCCAAUAUUAGGAAAGAAGUUACGAUUCUUUUGAUUUAGUUUUUGUUUUGUUUUGUAUCUUUAACUUAGUGGAUCUUAUUUAUAACUAUUUUGCUGAAAAGAAGUUUUUCUUUUAUAUAUCUCAACAAAUCAUCCUCUUCUUCUUCUUUCAAACCCUCGUUCAUCUCCCACUGUAAGUUACAAUUCAUACGUGUUUUUCUUGUGUUCAUAUAUCCCUCUAUUUCUUAUAAGUCAAAAACUAAAUGACACAUUAAGGCAAAAAGUUCUUUCUAAAUUUCACAGCCUCAUGUCUUCUAUAUAUGCAAAAGCAAAUGAUGACACUUUACAAUUUUGAAACUAUGUGAUUCUCACAUUCGACUCCACACCGUCUACUACCCCCACUACUCCAUUGUACUAAUAAAUGAGCAGUUAUCAGUUUAAGAACACCGUCAAUAGAAGAACAUAUAAUGAAGGAGAAGAAAAAUAUUGACCGAAGAAUUCUCAUGUGGAGAUUUAACAUUUUUUUUACCAUUUUUCUUUUGCUGAAUUCAUCCUCUUCAUGUUUUUGGAGGCCUUCUAUAUCUUCUUUUUUUUCAUAUUGUAUCUUCAUUGGAAUGAAGAAAAAGAAAAAAAAAAGUAAUGAAAAAAUCUUUUAAUUGAUUUA